rnacentral:rRNA from 1 species
UGAGGAAUAUUGGUCAAUGGGCGAGAGCCUGAACCAGCCAAGUAGCGUGCAGGAUGACGGCCCUAUGGGUUGUAAACUGCUUUUAUAAGGGAAUAAAGUUAGUCUCGUGAGACUUUUUGCAUGUACCUUAUGAAUAAGGACCGGCUAAUUCCGUGCCAGCAGCCGCGGUAAUACGGAAGGUCCGGGCGUUAUCCGGAUUUAUUGGGUUUAAAGGGUGCGCAGGCGGGCCUGUAAGCCCGUGGUGAAAGCCUGGUGCUCAACGCCAGAGGUGCCGCGGGAACUGCAGGUCUUGAGUCGUGACGAGGGCGGCGGAAUGCGAAGUGUAGCGGUGAAAUGCUUAGAUAUCACGAAGAACUCCGAUUGCGAAGGCAGCUUACCGUAGCGUUACUGACGCUGAAGCUCGAAAGUGCGGGUAUCGAACAGG